rnacentral:lncRNA from 1 species
GCACAGGUGCCUCAGGCCAGGCAUUUAAGCGUGCCCCGGGCAGGGUGAGACCUGGACCCAGAUCUGGCACCACAUGGAACUGGCUCUUCCCCAAAGUCGAAAUGACGGUGGGAGAGAAUGAUUCAGGACAUGCAGGCAGCCGUGAAGGUGCCACUAAAGACCCACACGAAAGAGGACUUCCUGAGCUGCUGCAGAACCUGGCAAGAAUGAUAGUAUGAGAGUGUGUGAAUUGAGGAGUAUUUUUAGGAGGAUUAAUGGCAAUGUGUCUUUUACCCUAAUAAAUUUUUUUUGUCCCUA